rnacentral:rRNA from 1 species
AAAAUGCACAGGUCGUGAGUUCGAUGAGUAGGGCGGGACACGUGACAUCCUGUCUGAAUAUGGGGGGACCAUCCUCCAAGGCUAAAUACUCCUGACUGACCGAUAGUGAACCAGUACCGUGAGGGAAAGGCGAAAAGAACCCCGGCGAGGGGAGUGAAAUAGAACCUGAAACCGUGUACGUACAAGCAGUGGGAGCACCUUCGUGGUGUGACUGCGUACCUUUUGUAUAAUGGGUCAGCGACUUAUAUUUUGUAGCAAGGUUAACCGUAUAGGGGAGCCGUAGGGAAACCGAGUCUUAACUGGGCGAAUAGUUGCAAGGUAUAGACCCGAAACCCGGUGAUCUAGCCAUGGGCAGGUUGAAGGUUGGGUAACACUAACUGGAGGACCGAACCGACUAAUGUUGAAAAAUUAGCGGAUGACUUGUGGCUGGGGGUGAAAGGCCAAUCAAACCGGGAGAUAGCUGGUUCUCCCCGAAAGCUAUUUAGGUAGCGCCUCGUGAACUCAUCUUCGGGGGUAGAGCACUGUUUCGGCUAGGGGGCCAUCCCGGCUUACCAAACCGAUGCAAACUCCGAAUACCGAAGAAUGUUAUCACGGGAGACACACGGCGGGUGCUAACGUCCGUCGUGAAGAGGGAAACAACCCAGACCGCCAGCUAAGGUCCCAAAGUCAUGGUUAAGUGGGAAACGAUGUGGGAAGGCAUAGACAGCCAGGAUGUUGGCUUAGAAGCAGCCAUCAUUUAAAGAAAGCGUAAUAGCUCACUGGUCGAGUCGGCCUGCGCGGAAGAUGUAACGGGGCUAAACCAUGCACCGAAGCUGCGGCAGCGACGCUUAGGCGUUGUUGGGUAGGGGAGCGUUCUGUAAGCCGUUGAAGGUGGCCUGUGAGGGUUGCUGGAGGUAUCAGAAGUGCGAAUGCUGACAUAAGUAACGAUAAAGCGGGUGAAAAGCCCGCUCGCCGGAAGACCAAGGGUUCCUGUCCAACGUUAAUCGGGGCAGGGUGAGUCGACCCCUAAGGCGAGGCUGAAAAGCGUAGUCGAUGGGAAACAGGUUAAUAUUCCUGUACUUGGUGUUACUGCGAAGGGGGGACGGAGAAGGCUAGGCUAGCCGGGCGACGGUUGUCCCGGUUUAAGCGUGUAGGGGGUGUGACCUGGUAAAUCCGGUU